rnacentral:rRNA from 1 species
UACGAAGGGGGGCUAGCGUUGUUCGGAAUACUGGGCGUAAAGCGCGCGCAGGCGGUCUUCCAAGUCAGUGGUGAAAGCCCGGAGCUCAACUUCCGGAACUGCCAUUGAAAACUGUGUAGACUUGAGGAUGAGAGAGGUGAGUGGAAUUCCCAGUGUAGAGGUGAAAUUCGUAGAUAUUGGGAAGAACCCCGAUGCGAAGGCAGCUGCCUAGACUGUAACUGACGCUGAGGCGACGAAAGCGUGGGGAGCGAACAGG